UACGUAGGGUGCGAGCGUUAAUCGGAAUUACUGGGCGUAAAGCGUGCGCAGGCGGUUCGUUGUGUCGGUGGUGAAAGCCCCGGGCUUAACCUGGGAAUGGCCAUGGAAACUGGCGAACUGGAGUGUGGCAGAGGGGGUGGAAUUCCGCGUGUAGCAGUGAAAUGCGUAGAGAUCAUGAGGAAGACCAGUGGCGAAGGCGGGUCUCUGGACAGUUCCUGACACUGAGGCACGAAGGCCAGGGGAGCAAACGGG
rnacentral:rRNA from 1 species